ncrna:unclassified sequences RAGATH-14 RNA
AGGAGUUGCCGAGAAAUAAGACCCUCGAUUGUGAAAAAUACUGUUAUUAUAAAUAACAGUAUAGAGCGCAAGAGUCUAGCUAGUAAGUAGGAUUCUCAUAAGGAAUCAUUUCCACUAUGAAUCUAGUCACUAAAUAAACACAAUUAGCUACUGUGUGUAAUAGUGAGUGUUGAUAACACAAAAUAAUAGUAUAGUUUUGGAAGAUUAUACUAUUGUUUUAAAUAAUCUACU